CUUUUAAUGCGGCCGUUGCCGGUCUCAAGCCCGGAUGAACGCAGAGACAAGG
rnacentral:ribozyme from 2 species